rnacentral:rRNA from 1 species
GAUGAACGCUGGCGGCGUGCUUAACACAUGCAAGUCGAACGGUGAACGAGGGAGCCUGCUCCCUCCGGAUCAGUGGCGAACGGGUGAGUAACACGUGAGCAAUCUGCCCUGGACUCUGGGAUAAGCGUUGGAAACGACGUCUAAUACCGGAUACGAGGCGUGGGGGCAUCCCCAACGCCUGGAAAGGACUUCGGUCCAGGAUGAGCUCGCGGCCUAUCAGCUAGUUGGUGAGGUAACGGCUCACCAAGGCGACGACGGGUAGCCGGCCUGAGAGGGUGACCGGCCACACUGGGACUGAGACACGGCCCAGACUCCUACGGGAGGCAGCAGUGGGGAAUAUUGCACAAUGGGCGCAAGCCUGAUGCAGCAACGCCGCGUGAGGGACGACGGCCUUCGGGUUGUAAACCUCUUUUAGCAGGGAAGAAGCGAAAGUGACGGUACCUGCAGAAAAAGCACCGGCUAACUACGUGCCAGCCGCCGCGGUAAGAC